CCCCGGGCUCAACCUGGGAACUGCGUUNUGAACUGGGUGACUAGAGUGUGUCAGAGGGAGGUAGAAUUNCACGUGUAGCAGUGAAAUGCGUAGAGAUGUGGAGGAAUACCGAUGGCGAAGGCAGCCUCCUGGGAUAACACUGACGUUCAUGCCCGAAAGCGUGGGUAGCAAACAGGAUUAGAUACCCUGGUAGUCCACGCCCUAAACGAUGUCGAUUAGCUGUUGGGCAGCAUGACUGCUUUGUAGCGAAGCUAACGCGUGAAAUCGACCGCCUGGGGAGUACGGUCGCAAGAUUAAAACUCAAAGGAAUUGACGGGGACCCGCACAAGCGGUGGAUGAUGUGGAUUAAUUCGAUGCAACGCGAAGAACCUUACCUGGUCUUGACAUGUACGGAACCCUCCAGAGACGGAGGGGUGCCUUCGGGAGCCGUAACACAGGUGCUGCAUGGCUGUCGUCAGCUCGUGUCGUGAGAUGUUGGGUUAAGUCCCGCAACGAGCGCAACCCUUGUCAUUAGUUGCCAUCAUUAAGUUGGGCACUCUAAUGAGACUGCCGGUGACAAGCCGGAGGAAGGUGGGGAUGACGUCAAGUCCUCAUGGCCCUUAUGACCAGGGCUUCACACGUCAUACAAUGGUCGGUACAGAGGGUAGCCAAGCCGCGAGGUGGAGCCAAUCUCACAAAACCGAUCGUAGUCCGGAUUGCACUCUGCAACUCGAGUGCAUGAAGUCGGAAUCGCUAGUAAUCGCAGGUCAGCAUACUGCGGUGAAUACGUUCCCGGGUCUUGUACACACCGCCCGUCACACCAUGGGAGUGGGGGAUACCAGAAGUAGGUAGGGUAACCGCAAGGAGCCC
rnacentral:rRNA from 1 species